UGGGAAAGCUUUUGCGGUAUGGGAUGGGGUCGCGUCCUAUCAGCUUGAUGGCGGGGUAACGGCCCACCAUGGCUUCGACGGGUAGCCGGCCUGAGAGGGCGACCGGCCACAUUGGGACUGAGAUACGGCCCAGACUCCUACGGGAGGCAGCAGUGGGGAAUAUUGCACAAUGGGCGCAAGCCUGAUGCAGCGACGCCGCGUGCGGGAUGACGGCCUUCGGGUUGUAAACCGCUUUUGACUGGGAGCAAGCCCUUCGGGGUGAGUGUACCUUUCGAAUAAGCACCGGCUAACUACGUGCCAGCAGCCGCGGUAAUACGUAGGGUGCAAGCGUUAUCCGGAAUUAUUGGGCGUAAAGGGCUCGUAGGCGGUUCGUCGCGUCCGGUGUGAAAGUCCAUCGCUUAACGGUGGAUCCGCGCCGGGUACGGGCGGGCUUGAGUGCGGUAGGGGAGACUGGAAUUCCCGGUGUAACGGUGGAAUGUGUAGAUAUCGGA
rnacentral:rRNA from 1 species